rnacentral:tRNA from 1 species
GCGCCUGUAACUCAGCGGAUAGAGUGUCGGUCUACGAAACCGAAGGUCAGAUGUUCGAAUCAUCUCAGGCGCA